UACGGAGGGGGCUAGCGUUGUUCGGAAUUACUGGGCGUAAAGCGCACGUAGGCGGCUUUGUAAGUUAGAGGUGAAAGCCCAGGGCUUAACCCUGGAAUUGCCUUUAAGACUGCAUCGCUAGAAUCGUGGAGAGGUGAGUGGAAUUCCGAGUGUAGAGGUGAAAUUCGUAGAUAUCGGGAGGAACACCAGUGGCGAAGGCGGUUGCCUGGAGCUUUGCUGACGCUGAUGCGCGAAAGCGUGGGGAGCGAUCCGG
rnacentral:rRNA from 1 species